UUCUCCUCAGACUGCACCCUCUCUCACUUACACUGCUUCGUGUCACCAGUGCAGCACAGAUUAGAUUUAGAUCCAUGCAUUGAGUCAUCCUUUUAGGUAAAGCUUCCUCACCAGGAAGGGAAAUUCUUGAAGGACCUUUGUUUGUGAGGCAGUGUUAACCUAAUGUGUUUUUUUGAUGGUGGGAAAAGCCCGAGUUCCUGGAGAAAACCCACACAAGCACAGGGAGAGAACACUGUCUGCACACAGAAGAACCUCCCAGGCGUUAGUCCUUACCACUGAGCCACACGCUGCCCACUGAAACACAGUUAUAAAUACAGAAGCAAAUAAACAGCAUGUUUGGCAUUUAAAGUGGGGAUAUGUUUUGUGCAUUUAAUGGAAGUAUUUUAGUUUAUUGAGACAUUUAUGUUGACAGACAUAAGCUAUUGUAAGCUAGGCACCAGUGUCAGAAAUGGAGUACAUUGAUUUAUUUAUUUUUAUAAAUUUGAUCACGCCUUAAACACAUGGCUCAUAGAUAUGUGUAUUCAGUGUUUAAUAUGGUGUGAGUAUUUUAGGCAGCUCUCUGAUUUUGUCACCAAAAGAGGGAACAUCCUCUGGGAGACUGUUCGGUGUGCUUCCCAUUAGACCAGUUCCAGAUAGACAAGAUACACCGAGCAUUAAAACUCUUCUGGUGACUCAAAUUUACUUCACUUUUUCUCAGUAUGACCUUCAGUUACCUCUGCUACAGGGUGUGAAAUAUGUUAAAGAUACUGGAAAAAUCGAGUAUCAGAUGUUUGUUGUUUACAUUCCAAACGGAAUAUAAAGUAACGUUGAUGGCUGUUUAGUUAAUGACACAUUUGGGUGGUUUUAAAUUUGUAGAUAGCUUGUUUCUUUUCUAAACCAGUGCUAUUCAUUCCAGAGGUUUGAAAAAUGUAGUUUAAUUUGUGAAAUCUUUGACCUUCACAACCAAGUUAACUCAUCUUUACUGGAACCCAGUUGCAACCUGUUGUUCGAGCCUCAAACACGUCAGUUAUUAUAAAGUCAUUUUUUUUACUGGCCAACAUAUGUUUGCAGAUCUCAUAUUGACAAAUCGGAUAACAAAGCUUGAUAUCUCAGUUUACAGUUUUGACAGAAGACAUAAUUAUGAGUCGUGAAAUCACAUUUGUAGAUGUAAGUCAGAUGUAAAUAUGUACAGACAAACAAAACCUUUUCACAUCUGAAGUGUGUACAAAAAAAGAGGGUAGAGAAGCUGUUUGCUCACGGGGCGUUAAUGUGAUGAGGAGAGUGGCUGUGGCCAGGUUGGCCACGGUUGUAAUGCACAAACCGUUCUCUCUGUUAUCUGGGAUUUGAAGCUAAAGCUAACUGACCUUUCAUACUGUAAACAGGCUACCCGAGGCUGCUGUCCACUCACACACACACACACACACACACACACACACACACACACACACACUCUGCACCAUCAUUUAUGACUGUCCUAUAUGUGGAAAUGUUA